UACGUAGGUGGCAAGCGUUGUCCGGAUUUACUGGGCGUAAAGAGCGCGCAGGCGGUCGAUCAAGUCGAGUGUGAAAGCCCCCGGCUCAACUGGGGAGGGUCAUUCGAUACUGAUCGACUCGAAGGCAGGAGAGGGUAGUGGAAUUCCCGGUGUAGUGGUGAAAUGCGUAGAUAUCGGGAGGAACACCAGUGGCGAAGGCGACUACCUGGCCUGUUUCUUGACGCUGAGGCGCGAAAGCUAGGGGAGCAAACGGG
rnacentral:rRNA from 1 species